rfam:Homo sapiens chromosome X, GRCh38 reference primary assembly.
GCCAGGCGUGGUGGCUCACGCCUGUAAUCCCAACACUUUGGGAGGCCGAGGUGGGUGGAUCACCUGAGGUCAGGAGUUCGAGACCAGCCUGGCCAACAUGGUGAAACCCCAUCUCUA